AGGGAUGUUGUAUCUCAUUCCUCUAGUGUGAAACUCCACAUGUCAAAUAUGGAUGUUGGAGUUGGUCAUGGUGUAAUCUUUGGGCUUGAGACAGCCAUGUCAUAUAAUGGAGCUUGUGUGCAUGAGUUGGAGUGACUGCAACCCCUGGCCCAAUGUUUCAUUUCUCCACAUGCCAGCCAAAUGCCAGGCACCCAAACAUGAAUAAAUGAAUAGUUAUAAAUAUAAUAUAUUAUGAAAAUUUUGGUG
rnacentral:lncRNA from 1 species